CUGUUGUCAGAAAUGGGAUAAUCUGUACAGUGUGCUCUUUUAGAUGGAUAUAAAGCUACCUUUAUAAUGAUACAUAUUCUUACAAAUGGGUGAGAACAAAUGAUAGAGAGUGUAUGCUUGUUUAAAUUGUAUUGUCUCAAUUCCCCAAGGUCCAAGUGUAUUCCCAGUCCCUUGUCCUCCAGUCGUACUCUGCAAAUCCAUAACUGUCAGGGUGGCAUUUUUACCAUUUCUGUCUGUGAAUGGGUUAAUUGGACAUCUUGAGACAAAAGUUAGAUGGUGAAUGUCAAAGCAC